CGUUCCCGGGUCUUGUACACACCGCCCGUCACACCAUGGGAGCGGGAGGUACCAGAAGUAGGUAGGCUAACCGCAAGGGGCCGCUUACCACGGUGCGUUUCGUGACUGGGGUG
rnacentral:rRNA from 1 species